CUUCCCCUGGCAAAACUCUAUUGUAUUUUGUUUACAUGUUAUGUUUGUAUGUUGUUAUGUAGAUUUUGAUUAGUCACUUGUGAUUUGUAUUCUUUUUUUUUUUUUUGGCAAUAAAGAUGACUUUAAAAAAAAUAAAGCAUGGAGAAGAUGCUUUUAGGAAAUUAUGAAAGUUUUAUAAGCGGAGAAAUCCUCCCCCAGACUUCAGUGAGGUUGUUAAUUUGUCCAAACCUCUGAGUAAUGGCGAGGGUUUAUCUUCAUAUCCAAUCCAUUCCAGCCGGGAUCUCAGCAGUACUGGGUUAAGCAGUGUCUGAAGAGCUAUCCACAGAAACCCAACGUGUGUAACCUGGACAUGCAUCAUCUGCAGAGACAGAGAACAUCUGGGAAAGAAGCAUAAAUGCUAUUCGGAAACAUAGGGUGUGGUCUCCACUGUGCAAUGUGCUGAAUCGGGCAAAAUCCCCAUAAUUCCUCCUAGAGGAGCACACUCUACAAAGGCCUGACUGGAGAUUUGCCUGAUCUAUCCGUCCUUCAGAUGACAGCGGCUCGCUUCAUGAGCAGGUGAAGCAAGUUGGGACAAUGUUGAAGACAUUUGCUCGCACUGGGCAAUCAGGUGCAGAUCAAACCCUAAUGCUGCGACGUCUUGGAAUUUGGCGAUGUUGUGCGUAGCAUGGACGACAAAAUGCUAUGCUGCAACGUUUCAGUGCCAAUGUGUCUGUUGGAGAGUUAUCCCUGCCAGGGGAUCUGUUACUCCCCCCUAGACACCCAGGAAGAUUUGGCAUUGCUUGACAACAGUUUGAGGCAGGAUAAAGAGCUCCAGCAACGAUUUCUUCGGUUUUUGGCAAUCAAAUGUGGGAGGCACCUAAAGACAACCGUGUGGCUGAAUGCUUCAGAGUAUCUUCUCUAAUCACCUUUCCAUCAAUACAACCUGGACUGGUGUAGGGGAUAAAGCAUGUUUUAGAGACAUGUUCCUGAAGGCCAUUGUUCAAAGAGCCAUCCGGAAGAACCCGGCAACCCAGGAUGCCACUGAUGAGGCGAUCCAGGUUAACGUUACGCGUUACCUGAAAGGAGCAUCUGAACAUGAAGGUGGAAAAGGCCGCACAGCUGAGAGGGACCCACAGCCGACCCCUUAAACCUAGGCUGACUACUGACACCCCAGCAUCACUGACAACUGGAACCCUUUCUUUAUCCUGCAGUCAGUAACAUCAAGACCCCUAAAAAAGCCUGCUAAAAGUGUCAGACUACACUCACCCAAUCCACACAGUUCACUGUGGAAAUUGCUCUUUUUUUUUUUUUUUUUUUCUCUCGUGUCCCUGCUUUGAGGGCAGCUCCUUGGAUGAAUAUGGGAUGGUUUGUGCUUUUAUACAGGUGCACGAGGAAUCACUGAAGAUAUGCUAAUUUGCACUGCCUCAUUCUGGAGGUCGGGGAAAACCGGUGAUUCUUAGCCCACAACGCCACACAGUCCCCAACCUCUCCAGACAUUCUGAUUGGCUGUGUUCUCUAUAGCCAGAUUUUCUGCUGUUAAUUAUAUUUAUUCCCACUUGUUGGCAUGUGUAAGUUGAAUGUCAAAAUGUAUAUUAUACCUGUUAUCCUGCACAUUCCUUUAUACCAAAGAUCACAAUUAUUUCAUAUACAAUUUGCUGCUUAUUUCAUUGUUACAGUGCUUAACUAUUCUAUUUUUAAAUAUAGCUUGUAAAUCCUAGAUUAUACAUCUAAUACUUGAUAUUUGCACAUUAUCUGGUAUCAAAUAUUCUACUUACCGUGACUUUAGUAUUGGCUUAUUUCAUUCCAUCAGUGCUUAACAAUUCUAUUAUAGUUUGUAAAUCCUAUUUCAUACCUCUGAUACUUGAUAUUGCACAUUAACUAGUACCAAAAAUUCUACUUUCAUUCCAUCACAGUGCUUAACUGUUAUUCUAUUGUUACAUAUAGCUUGUAAAUCCUUGUGCCACAGUCAGCAUUGCAGUUGGUAUAUUCUACUCCAGAGCUUUACUCUAAAUUAUUACCACUUAACCUAUUGUUAGAAAUGACUUGUAAAUAUGAUGUUAUACCUCAAUUUAUUUGGUAUCCUGCACUUUCUUUGGUACCAUAUAUCCUCAUUGCUUGUGUUUACUGGUAAUUCUUUUCAUCCCAGAGCUGACCUCUUUAUAUUAUUAACAAUUAUUGUAAGUGUUACAAUAGUGGUUUUUUAAAAAAAAAAAAAAAGAAAUUGGAAACCUGCAUGUUCUUUUGUGUGUGUGUAUAUAUAAUGUUUGUAUUUUUCUGUUAUUUAUAUUUCAGUGAUCUGACAUCUUGUUUCAAUGACAGUUACUGUACUUUGAAAUGUGGAAUUAAAA